rnacentral:rRNA from 1 species
CAGCCGCGGUAAUUCCAGCUCCAAUAGCGUAUAUUAAAGUUGUUGCAGUUAAAAAGCUCGUAGUUGAAGUUCUGAUUGUUCGGGCCUCGCGCUUUAUAGCCGAGGAACCGACAGUCAUCCGCUUGCAAAUAUAUGUUCGCCUUUAACCGGGUGGCUAUAUGAGUAAGCAAUUUACCUUGAGAAAAACAGAGUGUUCCAGGCAGGUUUGUCCGGAAUGCAUUAGCAUGGAAUAAUAGAAUAUGACUGAAGUCGAUUUAUUGGUUUAAGGCUUUAGUAAUGAUUAAUAGGAACAGUCGGGGGCAUUGGUACUUGACAGUCAGAGGUGAAAUUCUAGGAUUUGUCAAAGACUAACAAAUGCGAAAGCAUUUGCCAAGGAUGUUUUCAUUAAUCAAGAACGAAAGUUAGGGGGAUCAAAGACGAUCAGAUACCGUCCUAGUCUUAACUAUAAACUAUACCGACUCGGAUUCAGAUGAAUCAAAAAGUUCAUUUGGGACCGUAGGAGAAAUCAAAGUUUUUGGGUUCUGG